UCUGGUGGUCAUGGCACAGUGGCACCACCCGUUCCCAUUCCGAACACGGAAGUGAAACGCUGUUGCGCCGAUGAUAGUUGGGCGAUAGGCCCUGCGAAAGUAGGUCGCUGCCAGUUUAUACCCCCUCCUUCAGCAAUGAAG
rnacentral:rRNA from 1 species